UACGGAGGAUGCAAGCGUUGUCCGGAUUUAUUGGGUUUAAAGGGUGCGUAGGCGGCACAGUAAGUCAGUGGUUAAAAACUCUUGCUCAACAAGAGGGGUGCCAUUGAUACUGUUGUGCUUGAGUAUUGUAGAGGUAGGCGGAAUUGGUAGUGUAGCGGUGAAAUGCAUAGAUACUACCAGGAACACCGAUUGCGAAGGCAGCUUACUGGACAAUAACUGACGCUGAGGCACGAAAGCGUGGGGAUCAAACAGGAUUAGAAACCCCUGUAGUCC
rnacentral:rRNA from 1 species